rnacentral:rRNA from 1 species
AGCGAAAGCGAGUUCGAACAGAGCGUUCAGUCGUUAGGCGUAGACCCGAAACCAGAUGAUCUAUCCAUGGCCAGGUUGAAGGUGUGGUAACACACACUGGAGGACCGAACCGACUAGUGUUGCAAAAUUAGCGGAUGAGCUGUGGAUAGGGGUGAAAGGCUAAACAAAUCUGGAGAUAGCUGGUUCUCCCCGAAAACUAUUGAGGUAGUGCCUCGUGUAUGACUCCAGGGGGUAGAGCACUGUUAUGGCUAGGGGGACAUGGCGUCUUACCAAACCAUGGCAAACUCCGAAUACUUGGAAGUUUGAGCACGGGAGACAGAGCACCGGGUGCUAACGUCCGGACUCAAGAGGGAAACAACCCAGACCGCCGGCUAAGGUCCCUAAUAUUGACUAAGUGGAAAACGAAGUGGAAAGGCUAAGACAGUCAGGAAGUUGGCUUAGAAGCAGCCAUCCUUCAAAGAAAGCGUAAUAGCUCACUGAUCGAGUCUUUCUGCGCGGAAGAUGUAACGGGGCUAAGUCAAUAACCGAAGCCGCGGAUUCACACUUAUGUGUGAGUGGUAGGGGAGCGUUCUGUAAGCCUGCGAAGGUGACUCGUAAGGGUUGCUGGAGGUAUCAGAAGUGCGAAUGCUGACAUGAGUAACGUUAAAGCGGGUGAAAAGCCCGCUCGCCGUAAGCCCAAGGUUUCCUGCUCUACGUUCAUCGGAGCAGGGUGAGUCGGCCCCUAAGGUGAGGCUGAGAAGCGUAACUGAUGGGAACAAGGUUAAUAUUCCUUGACCACCGCUGAAUGCGAAGGGGGGACGGAGUAUUGAAGAUCAUCCGGGUGUUGGAUAUCCCGGUUUGCGAGCGUAGGAGGCUGACAGGCAAAUCCGUCAGCGAAUCUCCGAGGCAAAGCAUCGAGCUCUCUUUUGAGCGAAGUGAUUGGAUGUGCUUCCAGGAAAAGCCUCUAAGCUCCAGUUCAGCGGGACCGUACCGCAAACCGACACUGGUGGGCGAGCUGAAUAUGCUCAGGCGCUUGAGAGAACUCAGGAGAAGGAACUCGGCAAAUUGACACCGUAACUUCGGGAUAAGGUGUGCCUUUGUAGCGUGGAGGGAGAAACACCCCGAGCGCGAAGAGGUCUCAGAUAAUCGGUGGCUGCGACUGUUUAUUAAAAACACAGCACUCUGCAAAGACGAAAGUCGACGUAUAGGGUGUGAUGCCUGCCCGGUGCUGGAAGAUUAAUUGAUGGGGUGCAAGCUCCUGAUCGAAGUCCCAGUAAACGGCGGCCGUAACUAUAACGGUCCUAAGGUAGCGAAAUUCCUUGUC